UGGCCAGACUCCUACGGGAGGCAGCAGUGGGGAGCAUUGCACAAUGGGGGAAACCCUGAUGCAGCGACGCCGCGUGAGCGAUGAAGUAUUUCGGUAUGUAAAGCCCUAUCGGCAGGGAAGAAACAGACGGUACCUGACUAAGAAGCCCCGGCUAACUACGUGCCAGCAGCCGCGGGAAUACGUAGGGGGCAAGCGUUAUCCGGAUUUACUGGGUGUAAAGGGAGCGUAGACGGCAGUGCAAGUCUGGAGUGAAAGGCGGGGGCUCAACCCCCGGACUGCUCUGGAAACUGUACGGCUGGAGUGCAGGAGAGGUAAGUGGAAUUCCUAGUGUAGCGGUGAAAUGCGUAGAUAUUAGGAGGAACACCAGUGGCGAAGGCGGCUUACUGGACUGUAACUGACGUUGAGGCUCGAAAGCGUGGGGAGCAAACAGGAUUAGAUACCCGUGUA
rnacentral:rRNA from 1 species